rnacentral:rRNA from 1 species
GAUGAACGCUAGCGGCAGGCCUAACACAUGCAAGUCGAGGGAGAAGCCCUUCGGGGCAGAAACCGGCGCACGGGUGCGUAACGCGUAUGCAACCUACCUUUCACAGGGGGAUAGCCCGAAGAAAUUUGGAUUAAUACCCCAUAAUAUUAUUGGAUGGCAUCAUUUGAUAAUUAAAAUUACGAUGGUGAAAGAUGGGCAUGCGUCCUAUUAGCUAGUUGGAGUGGUAACGGCACCCCAAGGCUACGAUAGGUAGGGGUCCUGAGAGGGAGAUCCCCCACACUGGUACUGAGACAGGGACCAGACUCCUACGGGAGGCAGCAGUGAGGAAUAUUGGUCAAUGGUCGGAAGACUGAACCAGCCAUGCCGCGUGCAGGGAGAAUGCCUUAUGGGUUGUAAACUGCUUUUAUAUGGGAAGAAUAAGGAGUACGUGUACUUUGAUGACGGUACCAUAUGAAUAAGC